rnacentral:rRNA from 1 species
AACGAACGCUGGCGGCAGGCUUAACACAUGCAAGUCGAGCGCCCCGCAAGGGGAGCGGCAGACGGGUGAGUAACGCGUGGGAAUCUACCCAUCUCUACGGAAUAACGCAUGGAAACGUGUGCUAAUACCGUAUACGUCCUUCGGGAGAAAGAUUUAUCGGAGAUGGAUGAGCCCGCGUUGGAUUAGCUAGUUGGUGGGGUAAAGGCCUACCAAGGCGACGAUCCAUAGCUGGUCUGAGAGGAUGAUCAGCCACACUGGGACUGAGACACGGCCCCGAAUGCUACGGGAGGCAGCGGUGGGGAAUAUUAGACAACGGGCGCAAGCCUGAUCCAGCCAUGCCGCGUGAGUGAUGAAGGCCCUAGGGUUGUAAAGCUCUUUCACCGGUGGAGAUAAUGACGGUAACCGGAGAAGAAGCCCCGGCUAACUUCGUGCCAGCCGCCGCAGUAACAC